UUAAGCGAAAAGAGCACAGGGUGAAUGCCCAGGCACUGAGAGCCGAAGAAAGACGUGAUAAGCUGCGAAAAGCGGCGGGGAUUGGCAAAUACGAGGUGAUCCGCCGAUAUCUGAAUGGGGAAACCCACCGGAGUAAUCCUCCGGUACCGCAGGGUAAAUUCAUAGCCAUGCGGAGGGAACCCGCCGAACUGAAACAUCUCAGUAGGCGGAGGAAGAGAAAACAACCGUGAUUCCGAAAGUAGCGGCGAGCGAAAUCGGAGGAGCCCAAACCGCGGUGCGUGCACCGCGGGGUAAGGACCGCGAAAAAGUUCGAAGAGGGAGUGGAAGCGCGCUGGAAAGCGUCGCCAUAGAGGGUGAGAGCCCCUUACACGAAGCUCAAAGAAUGGCGCGGGAUCCGGAGUACUGUCAGACACGUGGAAGCUGGCAGGAAGAAGGGGGGACCACCCCCCAAGGCUAAAUACUACUCAGUGACCGCUAGCGAGAGUACUGUGAAGGAAAGGUGAAAAGGACCCCGGGAGGGGAGUGAAAGAGAACCUGAAACCCUGUGUUUACAAGCUGUGGAAGGACGAAAGGUCCGACCGCGUACUUUUUGUAGAACGGUCCGGCGAGUUAUCGCUGCCGGCAAGGUUAAGGAUUUAAGGUCCGGAGCCGAAGCGAAAGCGAGUCUUAAUAGGGCGAAAAGUCAGCAGAGAUAGACCCGAAACCGGGUGACCUAUCCAUGUCCAGGAUGAAGCCAAAGUAAAAUUUGGUGGAGGUCCGAACGCACAUCCGUUGAAAAGGGUGGCGAUGAGGUGUGGAUAGCGGAGAAAUUCCAAUCGAACCCGGAGAUAGCUGGUUCUCCUCGAAAUAGCUUUAGGGCUAGCCUCGUGUUAAUGAUCUUUUGCAGGUAGAGCACUGAAUUCUUGAGGGGGCGUCAAAGUCUACCAAGAGAUAUCAAACUCCGAAUGGCAGGAAGACAGACACGGGAGUCAGACGAUGCGAUAUAAAUUGCAUGGUCAAAAGGGAAAGAGCCCGGAUCUACAGCUAAGGUCCCAAAGUGCGUGUUAAGUGGGAAAGGAUGUGAGAUCUCAGAGACAACUAGGAUGUUGGCUCAGAAGCAGCCACACAUUCAAAGAGUGCGUAAUAGCUCACUAGUCGAGAGGUCGUGCGCCGAAAAUUCACGGGGCUGAAACACGACACCGAAGCUUAGGGAUGGAGAAAUCCAUCGGUAGAGGAGCAUUGAAAACCCAUAGAAGCAGGACCGGAAGGUCCUGUGGAGAGUUUUGAAGAGAGAAUGCCGGAAUGAGUAGCGAGAUGGAGGUGGGAAUCCUCCAGGCCGAAAAUCUAAGGUUUCCAGGGUAAAGCUGAUCUGCCCUGGGGAAGUCGGGGCCUAAGGCGAGGCUGAAAAGCGUAGUCGAUGGAGAACUGGUGAAGAUUCCAGUACCGAAUGAUAUCAGAACUGCGGGGACACAUGGGGGAAGGAAGAGCCGGGAGAGAGAAGACCGGUGCAAGCGCCGAAAGGCGUGAAGCGGAACGAAGAAAAGUAGGGAAGCUUCCGGAGACUGUGGCGAGAAAAGCCGCUAUUGUGUAUCAUGAGCCCGUACCGCAAACCGACACAGGUAGAUGAGGAGAGAAUCCUAAGGCCGACGGGAGAAGCAUUGUUAAGGAACUCGGCAAAAUGACCCCGUAACUUCGGGAGAAGGGGUGCCCACGAGAGUGGGCCGCAGAGAAAAGGCUCAAGCAACUGUUUAGCAAAAACACAGGUCUAUGCGAAACCGAAAGGUAAAGUAUAUGGGCUGACGCCUGCCCGGUGCUGGAAGGUUAAGAGGAGAGGUUAGCGAAAGCGAAGCUUUGAAUUGAAGCCCCAGUAAACGGCGGCCGUAACUAUAACGGUCCUAAGGUAGCGAAAUUCCUUGUCGGGUAAGUUCCGACCCGCACGAAAGGCGUAAUGAUUUGAGCGCUGUCUCAACAAUGCACCCGGUGAAAUUGAAGUACCAGUGAAGAUGCUGGUUACCCGCGCCAGGACGGAAAGACCCCAUGGAGCUUUACUCCAGUUUGGUACUGGGAUUCGGUAAUACUCGUACAGGAUAGGUGGGAGACAUAGAAGCAUGGACGCCAGUUUAUGCAGAGUCGCCGUUGGGAUACCACCCCUGUAUUGCUGGAUUUCUAACCUGCGGCCGUAAUCCGGCCGGGGGACAAUGCCAGACGGGGAGUUUGACUGGGGCGGUCGCCUCCGAAAGAGUAUCGGAGGCGCUCGAAGGUUCCCUCAGAAUGGUCGGAAACCAUUCAAAGAGUGCAAAGGCAGAAGGGAGCUUGACUGCGACACCGACGGGUGGAGCAGGUACGAAAGUAGGACUUAGUGAUCCGGUGGCAUAAAGUGGGAUUGCCAUCGCUCAACGGAUAAAAGCUACCCUGGGGAUAACAGGCUUAUCACUCCCAAGAGUUCACAUCGACGGAGUGGUUUGGCACCUCGAUGUCGGCUCAUCGCAUCCUGGGGCUGUAGCAGGUCCCAAGGGUUGGGCUGUUCGCCCAUUAAAGCGGUACGCGAGCUGGGUUCAGAACGUCGUGAGACAGUUCGGUCCCUAUCCGGCGUGGGCGUAAGAUAUUUGAGAGGAGCUGUCCUUAGUACGAGAGGACCGGGAUGGACUGACCACUGGUGUACCUGUUGGGUAGCAGACCCACGGCAGGGUAGCCAAGUCGGGAACGGAUAAACGCUGAAGGCAUCUAAGCGUGAAGCCGACCUCAAGAUGAGAUAUCUCAUGCGAAAGCAGUAAGACCCCUUAAAGACAAUGAGGUAGAUAGGGCUAAGGUGUAAGUGCAGAAAUGCAUUAAGCUGAUAGUUACUAAUCGGUCGAGGGUUUAACCAA
rnacentral:rRNA from 1 species